rnacentral:lncRNA from 1 species
GUUUGGGUUCAAGUGCUUCAAUCUAUUCCUGUCUGGUGAAAAGUGAGAGGACUGUUUAUGGUGAUAACCCUGAAGAAUGUGUGCAGUUUUUACAGUUUAACGUUCCCAUAGGAAAAUUCCUUGUUCACCUGGAAUUGUUUUCCAUGCCAAGAAGUGCUUUAACAGGGCAUGUUGCCACUCUAAAUCUUCAUCACUGUACUGGUAGCAGAAACUAAUUAAUUAAUUUGGAUAAUUAAAGUGUUGAAAGUGUUGGUGGUGAAUGACAACUCAGCAGCAAUCAGUUGUCCUUCCAAGGAGCACCAGCACCAGAGGACAACCCUUCCCUACCUGUCUGAUGGAUGGUAGGCCAAUUCCUUAAGUGCCUUAUCAGGUGUGGUGAGUAUAUAAAAUUUAAUCACAGUUGUUAUAUGUAUCCCAGCCAAUAAAUCAUUGUUUUAUUCUUUAAAUUGUGUAUAAUCUGCUGGCAGUGAGUUGUGUGCCUGUCCCACCACCCAAAUAAAGAUAUGAAGGGUGUGACUCCGCUGCCAAACAGAGGUGUGAGUCCCCAUAAAAAUUCAGAAAACUCCAUAAAUAGAACUCCCAGCAUGAAGGUGCUGCUGACAGAACAGGAGUUGGAAUGACAGCCAUGAAAAGUGCACUGUGGAUACCCCAGAGGCUUCACAGAAAACUGAAACCGUAUGUUUGCUGCUGAGGUGACUGGGAAAAGUGAUUGGCCUCAAGCUGCAUGGACGUGUUUGAUAAACUGAUUAAACAGUGAGGAUUUAGGGACAUGGGAGAGACUUCUAAGUAAGCUAAAUGCUCUGAAAUUGAAAGAUGCUUGCAUCUCUGCCCAGGGCGCUGCUGUCAUAUAGUCAUGAAGGUUUGCAGCUGCCUUAACAGGUGCUGAAUAUUGUUCCCCAAGAUAGAUUAAUUUGUGUCCUUGGAAAUAAAACCUUAAGAAGACGUAGACA